ACAACCUUGACAAAGGAAAGUUUGUCCAUCUUGACUACCAUCCAGAAAACACAAGUCGCAUAAAGGAACCACUAUUUGCUGUUCUAAAAGAGUUUAAACACUAAAUGGUCCAAAACACUUAAGUUACACCCAUGACCACAAGAUUUCUACUACAUUUGAAGCACCAAAUGGUCCAGAACACAAAUAAGUUUCAUGAUCACAAGUUGGCUGGUCCAAAAUACUGCAAAGAGGAAAAUGCCACCUAACACUGUGAUCACAUCCAUGCGCACUAGGUGGGUGAGUACGUGGAAAUAUUCCAUAUGAUGUUAAUGAUAAGAGAAUAAUGAAAACAUGCCCACUUGUAAUCAGGCACUAGAUCACUCAUGUCGUGCGUUGCCACGCCCGUCAAUUUGUACAAUGAAAUGAUUAGAAAUUUCAGAAAUAUAUAAUCACAUGAUACAUUUUAAAUUUCCAUAAAAAGUAUUGCAAACUUCGUU
rnacentral:lncRNA from 1 species